AAUGAACGCUAGCGGCAGGCUCAAUACAUGCAAGUCGAGGGGCAGCAUGAUUGUAGCAAUACAAUUGAUGGCGACCGGCAAACGGGUGCGGAACACGUACACAACCUCCCAAUAAGUGGGGAAUAGCCCAGAGAAAUUUGGAUUAAUACCCCGUAACAUAACGAUGUGGCAUCACAUUGUUAUUAUAGAUUUUUCGCUUAUUGAUGGGUGUGCGGCUGAUUAGAUAGUUGGCGGGGUAACGGCCCACCAAGUCUACGAUCAGUAGCUGAUGUGAGAGCAUGAUCAGCCACACGGGCACUGAGACACGGGCCCGACUUCUACGGGAGGCAGCAGUAGGGAAGAUUGGACAAUGGACGCAAGUCUGAUCCAGCCAUGCCGCGUGAAGGAUUAAGGUCCUCUGGAUUGUAAACUUCUUUUAUAAGGGACGAAAAAAGGCUUUUCUAAGUCGUCUGACGGUACCUUAUGAAUAAGCACCGGCUAACUCCGUGCCAGCAGCCGCAGUAACAC
rnacentral:rRNA from 1 species